rnacentral:rRNA from 1 species
GACGAACCGUACAAACGUUAUUCGGAAUCACUGGGCGUAAAGGGCGCGUAGGCGGGGAGGUAAGUCGGGUGUGAAAUCCCUCGGCCCAACUGAGGAACUGCGCCCGAGACUGCUUCUCUUGAGUCCCGGAGAGGAAGAUGGAAUUCCCGGUGUAGCGGUGAAAUGUGUAGAGAUCGGGAAGAACAUCAGUGGCGAAGGCGGUCUGCUGGGCCGUUGCUGACGCUGAGGCGCGACAGCGUGGGGAGCAAACAGG